rnacentral:misc_RNA from 1 species
UUAAUUUUGAGCAAUAUUGAUCGCUUGUGGAAGGAGCAUUUGCAGGCAAUCAAGUUUGUUCAGCAAGCCGUAGGAUUGCGCGGAUAUGCACAACGUGAUCCACUUAUCGAGUAUAAGCUAGAAGGCUAUAAUCUAUUCUUGGAGAUGAUGGCUCAGAUAAGAAGAAAUGUUAUAUACUCCAUAUAUCAGUUUAAACCUGUACUGGUAAAGAAGGAUCAGGAGCAAAGCCCGAAUGAGAAGAUGGCCAAACUUGUCACAAAUGGUAG